rnacentral:lncRNA from 1 species
UUGCUUUGCAGCCUUUGCUAGUUUUUGCUGUGCUUUUACAGUUUACUGAUUUGUGCCUUUGUUGAGCACUUGAACAGUUGAACACUUGGUCAGUUGGUCUGGUUUUGCUAUUGCAGAUUUGCAGUUGAGUUGUCAGUUCACUCAGUUGUGUGCACUGUGCAGUGUGUUGAGCUUUUUAGUCUUGCACAUUCCAGUGAUUUCAUAGUACAAGUCUUAUAGAUUAUGCAGAUAAGCAGAUUGCAUUGCAGAUUUGGCAGUGGCAGAUAAGCAGAUUUGCAUUGCAUUUCAUUUCAGGUUAUCAGGCCCGCAAGCCCGACAGGACCGGCCCGGUUCUUGCCGGUCCGGGCUUUUACCGGGUUCUGAAAAUUUUUGCGCCGGUUCGGGCUUUUUUCGGGCCCUGAAUUUGAAACAAUAAAACCCGGCCCGGUUAGAGUGUAUCCGUUCCGGGUCCGGGCCCUGUAAAAUAGCGACCGGGCCAGGCCCGUGCCCAACCCUAGGUGUUACCGAUGUAGACGGUAGGUACCACGGAGAUACGAAAAAUAGAGUCUAGGUAUGACUUUGAUCACUUUGUAAGUUUAGGUACCAUAUUGUCAGUUAUGCAAGUGUUGGUGCAAAAAAUCCUAAAAAAGAGAGGUCCAAAUGCUAAUAUUAGGGGUAUGAAUAGAAGCUUCUAUUCUCUACCAAAAAAAAAAAAAAAAAUGAAGCUCCCUAAAAAGAUUAAGGUGCGUCUAUUGUCACCUCACAAUCCACUUUGCUCACCGUAUACUCUCUUUACACCUCACUUAUAUAUUGUUGAUUGUAAGUCUACUUUGUUUACCUAUUUACAAUACCGAAAAUAACCAUUUUCUUAGUUCUACUUUAUUCACCCUACAUAUGUUUUUUUCAAUUUUCAUAUAUCAUUUUUUUAUAUAAUCAAAAAUCCUUAUCUUCCUCAUCAAAAGUAUGUAGAAUUAUGUUGUAUAUCCCAUAGUUGUGUUUCAGUUCAGGGAUAAUAAGGAGAAGCACAAGAACUUAAGAAUUAAUAAGAUUG